rnacentral:rRNA from 1 species
CAACUUUCAACAACGGAUCUCUUGGCUCUCGCAUCGAUGAAGAACGCAGCGAAAUGCGAUAAGUAAUGUGAAUUGCAGAAUUCAGUGAAUCAUCGAAUCUUUGAACGCACCUUGCGCUCCUUGGUAUUCCGAGGAGCAUGCCUGUUUGAGUGUCAGUA